rnacentral:tRNA from 1 species
UUUGAGCUAGCUCACUGGUAGAGCACAGGUCUGAAAAUCCUGCGGAGAAGGUUCGAUUCCUUCGUUCAUCCC